CUGGGUUGUAGAUUGGCCUGACAUUUCAAACAAAUAGCAAAUACUAAUUAAUAUUUUUCAAUAUAAACAAUCGUGUUAGGUUAACCUAAUAUGUUAAUCAUUUUGGUAAACUUUACCUUACUAAAUAUUACUAAAUACUAUAUAUUGUGCAUGUUUUGCAGAUAGGCUAAAAAGUCAACAAUGGCAUGUGCCCUUUUUGCGGUUUGAAGACAGUCUGUAUCGUUAGUUUUUCUUUUUCUUUUUUUUGAAGCAAGCAGUCCGCUCACCUCACCUCGGUAAAGUUAUCGCAGCCUCGGGGGAAGUGGCGGCGGUUGGCUUUCUCUUUGAUGCCUGCAUAUCAGGCGUAGCCUUGCCGGAGAGAGGAAAAAAGAAAAGAAUUUCAUUUUGAAGUGGCUGAAGGCGGGGAGGGAGGGGGGUCUUUUCAGCGGCUUGACAGUGCAAUUACACACAUUUCAACUGAUCUCCCAGCAUUUAGAUAACAUCAGCGAGUUAUGGUAAUUGUCUGCUUGCUCAUUAUCCCACCUACCCUCUACAAAGAGGACACACGUUUAUUAAAACGCCCGGAGAGAAAAGCGGCUUGAGUCAUAACAUUUUCGUGUAAGCUUUUCGCAUUGGCCCCCUUUUAGGCUUCGUUCUCUGUUUUUGUAAGAGGCUUGUUGCGACAUUUCGAAAGGGUUCAUUCACGGAGUGUGCGUGCGUGCGUGUGUGGGUGUGUGUGUGUGUGUGUUGGUGGGGGGCGGGGGUCUUUCGAACAGGGCAUUUCUAAAGUAGGUAGGCCUAUUUCAAAAUCAGGUAAACUAACCUAUUGAAAUGCAGGCUAUAGAUUGGUAUCGAUGUGUUUUUGUUUUCAAAAUGUUUUGUUAUCUUGGCAUAGAAACGCAUAUGGAAAUCAGAUAGCGUUUUCUUAUUCAGAUGCAGUAUGCCUUCUGUCUCCCUUGAGUGGUUGUUCUCACGCAAUUACUGACACGAACAGAAUGAGCACCGAAACCCUCCCGUAUGACAACGAAAAAACGGGAAAUGAGCGGCAGGAGGGCCGGGACCGGAGGAGGCCGGGGGAGACCUCCUCCGCCCCCCACCCCUCCCAAGCACCCCCCGUAUUCUUCUCCCGCUCAGACUCUGAAAGGAGUGUGUCCACCGGAUCUGCCUGGGAUGAAAUGUCAUAUCUCAGACUGAUCUUUAUCUGUUAAUCGCUUCCUUUGUCUCCCAUGAUUCCCUGGGUCCUCCCUUGUCUGUCUCUAUGGACCGGGGGGGCUUUGAUGUGUCAAGCACGAUUGAA